rnacentral:misc_RNA from 1 species
UUUCCGUAGGUGAACCUGCGGAAGGAUCAUUAAUAAAUAUUAUUAUAUAUUCUUAUAUUUUAAACCCACACCUGUGUACCUUUCCAUGUUGCUUCCCCAUCGAUCAUCGAUCGGUGGGAAAGGUCUUCAUAAACUCUGUUUUAUUGUGGAUUCUGUCUGAUUAUGAUUAUUUCAAAAUAUUAAAACUUUCAACAACGGAUCUCUUGGUUCUC